rnacentral:miRNA from 1 species
UCUUUGCUAGGAACUGCAAGUGGUUUUUUAAACUACUUGCAGUUCCUGGCAAAGA